rnacentral:lncRNA from 7 species
CUGUCUGGUGUUUUUUCCAUUACUUGUAGAUUUUUGUUCUCUGUUGGUGUGGUUAGGUUUGUGGUUAGGUUUCCCAUGGGUUUUCUUCUUUUGAUUUUCUGUGCUGUUUGUCAUUUGUUUUCUCUGAGUGUUGUGUGAGUGGUUUCCAUUUGUUUUGUCAUGCUGUUUGUGUUGUAUUUGUUUUGUUCUGUUAGGUGUUGUGUUUUGCUUUUGGCUUUGCCUUUGGUUUAGUUUCUCCUUGGUUUUUUGCUUGUUUUAGUCAUUGCCUUCAUGUUUUGCGGGCCCGUUUUUGCUUUUGCAUUAACUUUCUGUGGGUGCUUUCCUUGCUUUUUGGAUGUAUUUUUGCUUUCUUUGCGUGUUUCUUUUUUUUUUUCUUUUUUUUUUUUUUUUAAUUUUUGUGGAUUCUUUGUUGUAUAGCAUGUUUUCCUAUGUUUACUGUGGUUAUG